rnacentral:rRNA from 1 species
UACAGAGGUCUCAAGCGUUGUUCGGAUUCAUUGGGCGUAAAGGGUGCGUAGGUGGCGUCGUAAGUCAGGUGUGAAAUCUCGGAGCUUAACUCCGAAACUGCAUUUGAUACUGCGGUGCUUGAGGACUGGAGAGGAGACUGGAAUUUACGGUGUAGCAGUGAAAUGCGUAGAGAUCGUAAGGAACACCAGUGGCGAAGGCGGCCGCCUGGACCUGACCUGACGCUGAGGCGCGAAGGCGCGGGGAGCGAACGGG